rnacentral:rRNA from 1 species
UACGUAGGGUGCGAGCGUUGCCCCGGAUUUAUUGGGCGUAAAGGGCGCGUAGGCGGCCACGCACGUCCCGUUGUGAAAUCGCCCGGCUCAACUGGGCGGGGUCAGCGGAUACGGUGUGGCUCGAGCAAGCUAGGGGGCAAUGGAAUUCCCCGGUGUAGUGGUGGAAUGCGUAGAUAUCGGGAGGAACACCAGUGGCGAAGGCGGUUGCCUGGAGCUUUGCU